AUAAACAGAGUUGGUUUUCGCUCAUCAUUAAACUGCAGCGGCAUCAGUGGUAAAGAAAUAGUCUAUGCUUGUUGUGAGUAUUGUUAUGUAAUGUUUCCAGAUCAUUAUUACUAGUUUAUAGCUGGGCUCCAUAUGUACGUCACUCUGUGCUGAUCGUGUAAUGGAGUGGCUUUUUUGGACCACCUCUCCCAUGUGCGUUAAAUCCAGAGGCCGGCCUAAUCCUCCGCUGACACCGUUGCACACACGAACCGUUCAUCGGCGCCACGCAUGUGAACAACUUACGCAAUGACGCUGUAUAUAUCUGGACGACCUGACCCGUCCAGGUGAGUGACUGCAGUGCAAAUGUGAGACGAGGAGACGAGGCGAGUGUGCCUUUUGGACACACACAAACCGAACCUGAGGGCCAGGGAGAGCACUUUUGCCCGUUUGAAGCAGUCGGGGACGAGCAGGCAUGUUUUUCUUCCGCAUCCCUCGACUGACCCCGGGAUACAUUCGAUACCUCCAGACCCAGGCGGUCCUGCAGAGCCGGGAGGGUCCGGCAAUGCCCCGCCUGGCGUUCCUGCUGGGAUUGAUGGGGGUGAGCGUGUCCGGCUACAGCUCUCGCCAGCUGACGCUGCACUGCAAGCCUGCCGCUCGGCUCUUCAGAUGAACAAGAGGGACGGACGAGGUCGAUGGAUGGCGACCGUCGACGGCAGUACUGCCACCGAAUUUGCUGGCUCUAUCGUCUACAUGAAAACUUUAGAUGACAACAAUUUCAAGUAGCUAACAGAAACAUCAUCCUAUUAGAUUCAGUGGGCCACAAAAGCAAAAUGUAAUAUUUUUGGGGCGACUGCAAUUGUUUUUUUUUUCGUGGGGGGGGGGGGCAGAAACCUGCACAUGAGAUGAUUGCACAUAUCACUUUGACACGCUGAAUGAGAUUAGUCGACAACGACGACAACGGGCGACUGCUAUCGUCUUGAGUGGUGACCUGAACCGGGCGAUAUCUGAGUGAAAAGUCGCCCACGUCAAAGAAGCUGAGCGGAAAGUGUUUUGUGUUUUUGUUAGCGUAGGAACGUAGCGGUGACCAGGCGUGUCAAUCAACGCUUUGGGACGAGAUUAGCCGGGAAGGAGGCCGGCCAGAUCCUCUUAGCAAACAUCCGCUGACAUGCGGCAGGUUAGAGGUCACUCACCCUGACGUUGAAAAAAGAAUUCAAAUUUAAUGUCAUAUUCCAAAACUAAAGAUUUGGGAAAUAGUCCUACAAAAAAAAUUCCUAUAUUCUGGGAAUAUUAGGAAUUUGAUUUAAAAAAAGGGAAAAUAUUGUACAGUUCAGAAAAUGGAUGGCUCCAACGCUCGAAAGUAACCUGUAUACAAGUCAAAAGCAAGUAAACCUGUUGACCACAGCAUCAUCUGCUGGCUCAGAUGGGACAUUACCUCUUGCCCCGAUGCAAAACGUUGCCACUGCUACUCACUAAUGAAACGAAAACAAAGACAAAUAUUUUCCAACUAGAUUCCCUUGCAAAACGCUUUUCUUUUUGCCAACGUCAACAUUGGCCUGCGCCUAUUUUGACACGGUGUCGCCGUGACGUGAUUACGGUCACAGAAAGGUCGGUCGGUCGGUCGCUGCCGCUUUCCGAUCCGAUUGUGCUGUGUCGCAAACGCCGAUAAGGUCAGUUGACGCAACUUAUCUGUUUGUUUAAAGGCUGAUAAGGAACAGCAGAAAUAUGUGCUUAGCCGUCGUUUCGUCUGGAUGCAAAAACGGGCCACGGAGGGAGGUUUCGG